rnacentral:rRNA from 1 species
UACGUAGGGUGCGAGCGUUAAUCGGAAUUACUGGGCGUAAAGCGUGCGCAGGCGGUUCGUUAUGUCCGAUGUGAAAGCCCCGAGCUUAACUUGGGAAUGGCAUUGGAAACUGGCGGGCUGGAGUGCGGCAGAGGGGGGUGGAAUUCCACGGUGUAGCAGUGAAAUGCGUAGAGAAUGUGGAGGAACACCGAUGGCGAAGGCAGCCCCCUGGGCCGACACUGACGCCUCAGGCACGAAAGCGUGGGGAGCAAACAGG